rnacentral:rRNA from 1 species
AACGAACGCUGGCGGCAGGCCUAACACAUGCAAGUCGAGCGGACCUUUCGGGGUCAGCGGCGGACGGGUGAGUAACGCGUGGGAAUAUGCCCUUCUCUACGGAAUAGUCCUGGGAAACUGGGGGUAAUACCGUAUACGCCCUUUGGGGGAAAGAUUUAUCGGGGAAGGAUUAGCCCGCGUUGGAUUAGGUAGUUGGUGGGGUAAUGGCCUACCAAGCCGACGAUCCAUAGCUGGUUUGAGAGGAUGAUCAGCCACACUGGGACUGAGACACGGCCCAGACCCCUCCGGGAGGCAGGAGGGGGGAAUCUUAGACAAGGGGGGCAACCCUGAUCUGGCCAGGCCGGGGGAGUGAUGAAGGCCUUGGGGUUGUAAAGCUCUUUCAGCUGGGAAGAUAAUGACGGUACCAGCAGAAGAAGCCCCGGCUAACUCCGU